CGGCCGGCUCCGCCGGCGACCGGCGCACGGGUGAGUAACACGUAUGCAACCUGGCCCGCGGACGGGGACAACCCGGGGAAACCCGGACUAAUACCCGGCGGGGCCUGAGGGGGCAUCCCUCCCGGCUGAAGGAGGCGACUCCGCCGCGGGAUGGGCAUGCGGCGCAUUAGCUUGUUGGCGGGGCAACGGCCCACCAAGGCGACGAUGCGUAGGGGUUCUGAGAGGAAGGUCCCCCACACUGGAACUGAGACACGGUCCAGACUCCUACGGAAGGCAGCAG
rnacentral:rRNA from 1 species